rnacentral:rRNA from 1 species
AGUGAACGCUGGCGGCAGGCCUAACACAUGCAAGUCGAGCGGCAGCGCGUCCGACCACCCUCGGGUGGUCGGAUGGCGGCGAGCGGCGGACGGGUGAGGAAUGCAUCGGAAUCUGCCUCGUUGUGGGGGAUAACGUAGGGAAACUUACGCUAAUACCGCAUACGACCUACGGGUGAAAGUGGGGGACCUUCGGGCCUCACGCGAUGAGAUGAGCCGAUGCCGGAUUAGCUAGUUGGCGGGGUAAAGGCCCACCAAGGCGACGAUCUGUAGCUGGUCUGAGAGGAUGGCCAGCCACACUGGAACUGAGACACGGUCCAGACUCCUACGGGAGGCAGCAGUGGGGAAUAUUGGACAAUGGGGGCAACCCUGAUCCAGCCAUGCCGCGUGUGUGAAGAAGGCCUCGGUUGUAAGACACUUAAGUCGAGGAGGAAGGUUUU